rnacentral:misc_RNA from 1 species
GAUGAAGAACGCAGCGAAAUGUGAUACUUGGUGUGAAUUGCAGAAUCCCGUGAACCAUCGAGUCUUUGAACGCAAGUUGCGCCCGAAGCCACUAGGCCGAGGGCACGCCUGCCUGGGCGUCACACGCCGUUGCCCCCCCAUCUACUCCUUCGGGAUUGCGGGGGGGCGGAUGAUGGCCUCCCGUGCGCCUAGCCGCGCGGUUGGCAUAAAUACCAAGUCCUCGGCGACGCACGCCACGACAAUCGGUGGUUGCGAAACCUCGGUUGCCCGUCGUGUGCGUUCGUCGCGCAUCGAGGGCUCGAAAAAAUGCUCGGCUCCGGCUGGGCUUUCAACGCGACCCCAGGUCAGGCGGGGUUACCCGCUGAAUUUAAGCAUAUCAAUAAGCGGAGGA